AGCGGCUCGUUUGAGAGACACCCAAGUAGCACGGGGCCCGAGAAAUCCCGUGUGAAUCUGGCGGGACCACCCGCUAAGCCUAAAUAUUCCCUGGUGACCGAUAGCGGAUAGUACCGUGAGGGAAUGGUGAAAAGUACCGCGGGAGCGGAGUGAAAUAGUACCUGAAACCGUGUGCCUACAAGCCGUGGGAGCGUCGCGCAAGAACUUCGGUUCUUGCGUCGUGACUGCGUGCCUUUUGAAGAAUGAGCCUGCGAGUUAGCGGUGUGUAGCGAGGUUAACCCGUGUGGGGAAGCCGUAGCGAAAGCGAGUCCGAACAGGGCGUUUGAGUUGCACGCUCUAGACCCGAAGCGGAGUGAUCUAGCCAUGGGCAGGUUGAAGCGGCUGUAAGAGGUCGUGGAGGACCGAACCCACCAGGGUUGAAAACCUGGGGGAUGACCUGUGGUUAGGGGUGAAAGGCCAAUCAAACUCCGUGAUAGCUGGUUCUCCCCGAAAUGCAUUUAGGUGCAGCGUCGUGUGUUUCUUGCCGGAGGUAGAGCACUGGAUAGGCGAUGGGCCCUACCGGGUUACUGACCUUAGCCAAACUCCGAAUGCCGGUAAGUGAGAGCGCGGCAGUGAGACUGUGGGGGAUAAGCUCCAUGGUCGAGAGGGAAACAGCCCAGAGCAUCGACUAAGGCCCCUAAGCGUACGCUAAGUGGGAAAGGAUGUGGAGUCGCAGAGACAACCAGGAGGUUGGCUUAGAAGCAGCCACCCUUGAAAGAGUGCGUA
rnacentral:rRNA from 1 species